GUGAGUUUGUGAUCUAACUGGAGGCAUCAAGAUGAUGGGACCUAAUCCUGGCCCAGCCAGGUCGGACUCUAUACUACGACAGUUUCUCGGUCCGCCCGUUCCAAGGUAAGAGUGAACCAAGUUAUCUUUACGAAGGCUCGGAUGGCUUGGUUCCUAAACCAGAGGACACCGCGUGAGGCGGAUCAGGUGUCGUUGGAGUCCAUAUGGCUGAAUGGGCUUGAACGGUGAUCGUGAAACGAAGGUUUGGUGGUCUAAGAGUGGUGCUCUCUCUCUCUCUCUCCAUCGAGCAAAAGAUGUAGCCAAAUCUAAUGGUAUCCAUCCAUAUUUUCAGAGAUUACACAACAAAAAGAGAUACAAAAAGCAGAUCGCUGUCAAUAGGAAGAAAUGUACAAAAGAUGGUAUAGAAUGGGAUAUAUCCCACAUUCAACUUGCAUUAAAAAAUUAUUUCUUAUUUGCUAGAUACUGAUUGUAAGAAUCAAAUUCAGAAUGAUCA
rnacentral:misc_RNA from 1 species